AGAGGAUACACCUGUUCCCAUUCCGAACACAGAAGUUAAGCUCU
rnacentral:rRNA from 1 species